rnacentral:lncRNA from 1 species
UGGCCCGGGGCGGGUUUGGGGCUGUGCUUUGUGACUCAGCGCUGGUUCACUUCUCUGCACUGGGGUGUGGUGGGGGUGAUCCUGCUUUUAGUCAAAGCAGCUACAAAACUCCGAGAGCAAGUCAGCUGUUUUCUACGUCUGGAAGCUGGCCGGGCUCCUUCUCAGAUUUAUCGAAGGCAGGCAGCCGCUGACCCCUCCCUUUGCUAUUGGAGGUGAGGAGACGGAAGGGGACACGGGCCCUGGGAACUCGCCCCUGCUGAGUCACUCUACCUUUGGCAGCCUGAAGUUCGGGCUCCUGGCCCAGCAUUGCAGGACCCCCACUGUAGGGAUGGACCCCAGGCUCAGAACCCUCAUCUGGUCAGGGCUCUGCCGCUGCCUGGAACCAACACACAGACCUUCCAUUCCCUCCCUUGACUCAGGUCUCAGGCCAGGGCAAAAGUAAGGGGCACAGUGGGGAGAAAACCUGUGGAGGUGCCUGCUUGGUGCAAGCUCAGGCAGAGGCUCUUGACGGGACACUUCCCCUUUAACUGACUCAUCACUCCCAGCUUCCAGGCUGCAUCAUGGCCGUUAUGCAGAGAAGUCAACCAAGUCGCAGAGAGUUCAUUGACGGGACAGAGCCUCGCAGGAGAACAGAUUCAAUCCAGAACUCAGAUCCAAUGACUCCACACCACGUGCGCAAGUGCAGACACACACACACACACACACACACACAGCCUGCCUGUGCUGCUGAGGGUGCAAUAAGGACCAAGAGAAAGAGUAGCCAAGGGAAGAGGGACAGGCCUUUGUUGGGACAGUCCUGGUGGCAAAGGGCAUUUUGGCUGAGAAACCCCUAAAGUUAGAUUUGACCCCAUGACUGGGGUGGGGGGCACAAGCUUAUCUCAGAGCCGUCACCUCCCCUGCUCUGGGGUCUGGUUGAUCCGUGCAGGGACACAGCCCUGUGUGCUGAGAGGAAAGCUGGCCCUGUGUCGGGGGCGGGACAGGCACCCAAGGGCCCCGUGGCCCUCCCUUUUCUUCCCCAGGUGGCUGCCCCCCCCAGAGGCGCUCCUGCCACCUGCCCCUCCGAGAGGGACGUCUCCAGCCACUUGUCCACAGCCUCAGGAGUAUCCACAGCCUCAGGAGUCUCCACAGCAGAGACAGACGUGGGAGGAUGAUCCCUUUGCCCUAACUGGACACCCGGUGGGGCUCAGAGUUGAUGGGGUCACAGGGGAUCUGCCAGCUCAGGAAAGAAGAAGGCCGUGAGAACCAAAUCUCGGAGCCAUUCGCCACCAGGAAAUGCAAAUGAAAGCCACAGUGAGAUGCCACCACACGCCCACGGCUACAGUGACAAUCG